rnacentral:misc_RNA from 1 species
UCACCGCUUGCGCGGGCAGUUUCUUUAGAGUCCCCAGCUUAACCUGUUGGUAACUAAAGAUAGGGGUUGCGCUCGUUGCUGGACUUAACCAAACACCUCACGGCACGAGCUGACGACAGCCAUGCAGCACCUUAACAGUUGCUCUUGCGAGAGGUUACCUUUCGGCAACCGUCAACUGUCAUUUAAGCCUAGGUAAGGUUCCUCGCGUAUCAUCGAAUUAAACCACAUGCUCCUCCGCUUGUGCGGGCCCCCGUCAAUUCCUUUGAGUUUCAAUCUUGCGAUCGUACUCCCCAGGUGGAUUACUUAUCGGUUUCCCUUAGACGCGUACUGUGUAUCGCACACAUCGAGUAAUCAUCGUUUACGGCGUGGACUAC